rnacentral:sRNA from 1 species
GCAAUAAGGUAACAGGUGUGCCCACCUCUCAGGGCUGCUAUGAGGACAACUGAGGCCACACACCUGGCUCUCAAUAAGUGAGUGGUGCUCUGUGAGCUUCUGGCGAGUUAGGGGCACCCUACUCAUUGCGGCCGGGGGCCUCCCCCAGCAAAUGGGUGGAAAGAGGCCUGAGCCCCAUCCCCAGUUUCUGCCCCUGCUAUCUCCACCCAGGAUCCACCAGAAGAUAUGAAGCAGGACCGGGACAUUCAGGCAGUGGCGACCUCCCUCCUGCCACUGACAGAAGCCAACCUACGCAUGUUUCAACGUGCCCAGGAUGACCUUAUCCCUGCUGUGGACCGGCAGUUUGCCUGCUCCUCCUGCGACCACGUCUGGUGGCGCCGCGUGCCCCAGCGGAAGGAG